CUCCUGACCCAGACAGAGAAAUUAAAACCUAUAACAACCAGCACAAGCUUCAUGUUCAAACCCUCUUAGCACCGGCACUAACACCUUCCCAUUAUGUGACUCUUUCACUCUCCGGACGGCCACCUCUCUUAUACUUGCUCAAGAAUAAAUAAACAGAUAUGAGGUGGUCGUCAAGAAAGUUGUGGUUCGUGUAGUGUAAAAAUUUAUCAAGAAUUGUGGAAGUAAUGGGAGGUGUUCGAAGAAAUGAACCUGAAUCGCCUUCUCAAGGGCGGUUUCUCUCUUAUAGGGCAACUUCGAUCCUUUGGCAUUUUCUGUUCCUCUGGAAAAUCUCUCUUGGCUAGCUUCAAGCGAGUUGGGCUUCGAGGAAACUUUUACAAGGGCGAGUCAGACUAUAUCAUAUCUAUCUAUUUUUCUUUGGCUUUUGUGAUGGUGUACAUAUGAUUAGUGCCUGCUGCUGCUGCUCCAAGCUGGGCAUCUGUCAUAUGCAUAUGUGUGUUUAGGCCUCUGGCCAAGGUUUAUUAUUAUAAUUAGAUUGCUACUGAAAUCUACUGGUGUAUGUUUUAAUUUUGCUUCUUUCUUUAUUUAUUGCUUUCUAGUGUGUUCAUGGAGCAAUUCUGAGAAGAGGGUUCUGACUUUAAUUCUUAUUUUUUUUUUU
rnacentral:misc_RNA from 1 species